UACGGAGGGGGCUAGCGUUGUUCGGAAUUACUGGGCGUAAAGCGCACGUAGGCGGACGCUUAAGUCAGGGGUGAAAUCCCGGGGCUCAACCCCGGAACUGCCUUUGAUACUGGGUGUCUGGAGGUCGAGAGAGGUGAGUGGAAUUCCGAGUGUAGAGGUGAAAUUCGUAGAUAUUCGCAAGAACACCAGUGGCGAAGGCGGCUCACUGGCCCGGUACUGACGCUGAGGUGCGAAAGCGUGGGGAGCAAACAGG
rnacentral:rRNA from 1 species